rnacentral:lncRNA from 1 species
AUAUAUGUAAAAUUACAGUCUAUAACUUUCAAUAGUCUAAGAUUCCUGGCAGUUUCAGAGCCACAACAGACAGAAAACAUAACAUCCUCAGUAUACAUUCAGGUGGAGACAUUGAGGCUCAGAGAACCAAAGCACCCAGAAUUCCAGUCUGGAAUGAAAUCGUGGUUAACAAAUCCAGGGGCAAUGAAAACUCCUGUAUGCUCACUUCCUGCCGUCUGUUAUGUUUACAGAGUGUGCAAUUACUGUUGAACUAAUGAAGUGAUUAAUUUAGAAACUUCUGACCACUCUUGGUAGUUGCCAUCUUCAAUCUGAGCAUGGUGAUCAGCUCACAGUAUCUGAGAGGCUUCACUCCAGAAAUAAGAAGGUACAGCUAUUGCAUCUUUGAUGGAUUUUCAGAAAAAUCACUAGGAGUAGGUGCUGCAUGAAUAGGAUGAUGGGGUCCACAGAACACUAGGUGCACCUCCCUUAUGUACACAUAGACAGGUGAGGACCAUAUGGCUGCAGGACUUGUCUCAUGCUAGGCAGCUAAUAAAUGGCAGAGACCAAACUAGCCAAAGUGGUUUGUGACCACAGUUGGUGAUGAUUUAGGUUGAUGAUGUGACAUGGAGCCAACUGGAACUCUGGUUACUGUGUGUUUCUUCUGUUCUUCACCACUAAACACAAUUUGGCCUUUCUUUGUUCACUAUUUCCUUCUUUAUUAAAUGGGAUCAGCAGCGGGUGACCUUUUUGCUGUACAUUGUUGAGUCCUCACCUUUAGAUGUUUCAACUUUGAAUGAUGCUUUGACACCAAAUGUGGGAGAAGAACCAUGGGAUGAGUCCUCUGGUGAAACCUCCCUUUGCUCCAUGAUGAAGUCUUUGCCUUUUUUGAGAACAUGCAGAGCACGUGUGGUCAGGAGUAUAGAUCAGCGAAGCAAGAGACUGAAACAGAACGGAUGCCAGGUUCUGACACUUCCCCAAAAUGGUGGAAUGCAAACAGGUCCCUGGUGAGCCCAAAAUGGCAGGUGGUGACAUCAGUAUAUCAUUAUAACCUUC